AAAGCUCAAAUUUAAAAUCUGGUGGUCUUUGACUAUCCGAAUUGUAAUCUAGAGAAGUGUCAUCCGCGCUGGACCGUGUAUAAGUCUCCUGGAAUGGAGCGUCAUAGAGGGUGAGAAUCCCGUCUUUGACACGGACUCCCAGGGCUUUGUGAUGCGCUCUCAAAGAGUCGAGUUGUUUGGGAAUGCAGCUCUAAAUGGGUGGUAAAUUCCAUCUAAAGCUAAAUAUUGGCGAGAGACCGAUAGCGAA
rnacentral:rRNA from 1 species